rnacentral:rRNA from 1 species
AGCGAACGCUGGCGGCAGGCCUAAACAUGCAAGUCGAACGGAUCCUUCGGGAUUAGUGGCGGACGGGUGAGUAACACGUGGGAACGUGCCUUUUGGUUCGGAACAACUCAGGGAAACUUGAGCUAAUACCGAAUGUGCCCUUCGGGGAAAGAUUAUCGCCAUUAGAGCGGCCCGCGUCUGAUUAGCUUGUUGGUGAGGUAAAGGCUCACCAAGGCGACGAUCAGUAGCUGGUCUGAGAGGAUGAUCAGCCACACUGGGACUGAGACACGGCCCAGACUCCUACGGGAGGCAGCAGUUAGGAAUCUUGCGCAAUGGGGGAAACCCUGACGCAGCCAUGCCGCGUGAAUGAUUAAGGUCUUAGGAUUGUAAAAUUCUUUCAGCGGGGACGAUAAAUGACGGUACCCGCAGAAGAAGCCCCGGCUAACUUCGUGCCAGCAGCCGCGGU